rnacentral:rRNA from 1 species
ACGGAGGGAGCUAGCGUUGUUCGGAAUUACUGGGCGUAAAGCGUACGUAGGCGGUUAUUCAAGUCAGAGGUGAAAGCCUGGAGCUCAACUCCAGAACUGCCUUUGAAACUAGAUAGCUAGAAUCUUGGAGAGGUGAGUGGAAUUCCGAGUGUAGAGGUGAAAUUCGUAGAUAUUCGGAAGAACACCAGUGGCGAAGGCGACUCACUGGACAAGUAUUGACGCUGAGGUACGAAAGCGUGGGGAGCAAACAGGA